rnacentral:rRNA from 1 species
GAGUUUUAUAUUUAUUUUUAUUUUAAAAAUAUAUAUAAAUUAAUAUUAAAUAAAAUAAAAUAUUAUAUUGGGGUGAUAGAAAAAUUAAAUUAACUUUUUUUAAAUUAUUAACAUAAAUAAAUGAUUUAAUGAUCCAUUAAUAAUGAUUAUAAGAAAAAAUUACCUUAGGGAUAACAGCGUAAUAUUUUUUUUUAGUACAAAUAAGAAAAAGAGUUUGC